rnacentral:lncRNA from 1 species
CACUGGAGUCCUCACCUCUGGUCUCAAACUCUCUGAUCUAUUCUCCAUAGAGUAGUUAGUUUGCUCCUUCUAAAAUGCAGACCUGAGCAUAUUACCUUUCAGCUUAAAAAUCCUUACAAUCCUUCUUUCAUGUGGGGGUCUUAUUCCUGUUUUCUGAGAAUAAUUGAAAUUCAAUUGUAAAAUUACUCUUUUUAGCAAUACCCUAAGGAGCCUAUGAAAGAUGCCAACAGUACAGUUAUUGUGGUGGCCCCUCUAAUUGAGUGGCUCUGGUUCUC